UCUUCCUAGACACGUUUUAAAAUCAUGAGGUUGAUAGUGAUACAUAACGGGUCAAAGUGGACAAUACUUGCUAGCGUCUAGCGAUGGACUUGGGCCCCGACAAUACACACCCCAUAACUCCCCUAUCCCCCCUCUGAUUGAAAAGAUUAGUCCAAGAUCGAGCAGUUGUAGCUGCUCCUGCUGUUGCAAAACUGGACUAGGGAAGGGCUGGAAUGGUGUUGGCCCAAAUUAAUAAACAUGGUUCUCGUUCGUUCAGUGAUAUAACCGAUCUCUCCUAGUUUGAAACCAACUCUGAGAAUCUUGAAUGCCUUCUAUAAGCUUUACCCAUUUUACCUGAUACUAAGAAAAGGGCUCUCCAUACUCAAUAUUCUAUAGAGAUUGCCUUUUACAAUAGCUUCUUGUUAUAGCCAAGUGUUGUUCGAAGCUCAAACUAAAAGUAAUCUUGUCGUGUGAGGCAUAGCAUAGGUUCUCUUUGGCAUUGAAUAAUAAGAAUAGAGACUUGAUAAGGCAUAUGUUCUCUUUGCCAUUUCUGACACCUAGAGAUGACAUUAACCAAGCAGAAUAAUAAAAAAUCUCUGCCAUACCCUUCAUUUGCUCGCUCCUCUCCUUUUCAUGUUGAGCCGUUGAAGGAAAAAGAGCUGAGUGCUUGUUCUUAUCCCCAAGUUGUAUACAUAUUCUUUCCUUGAUGCGCUGCUUAAGGAAAUUCAAGGUAUUAUAAUAAUUUACGCCUCUCAUCUUCCAAGCCUUUGAGGCUUUAGAGGCUUAUGUUGAGUGGGCACCAAGUUUCUUUUUCCCUGAAA